GGCUCAGUAGCGGAUGGUCCGCGCCUGCCCCCCUGGGUUGCACUCGAGAAGUCCCGAGCGCAUGAAUCGCUCGUUCGAAUCGAGCCUGGGCCA